rnacentral:lncRNA from 1 species
GGGACUGUGUCUGACCCGAUUGAUGUGUAUCCAUCUCAGUGCUUAGAACAAGCGCUUGACAUCUAGUAAGAGCUGAAGACAUACACCACAAUUAUUAUUGUUAUUAGUCUUCCAGCAUAACCUUCGAUGGCUGUUCUGGCUUACUCUGUGCUUGUUUUACUUAAUCUUUAUGUGGCAUACCCUUCCAAGCUCUUUUGGUCAUGCGACUGCUGGGAGUUUCAUAGAUAACAUGCAAAUAAGGAUAUUGAAAAGUGGAAGGCAGGACAGAGCAACCACAGAGUUGCAAAAAAAGGAAGUGUGCAUUGCCGGCAGACUUGCACACUCACCGUACAAGUCAGAGCAUCUCUGGGGGUGCUGCAUGUGGAGUGUGCUGGCUGACCACUCUAAUUCUGGCCCCAACAAAGCACCGACUGCAUCUUACUCUCUGACCACCCCACCGCCACCUCCACCGGCCCAUCCUGCCACCCAGGCUCAACCCCCUCCACCAUCCUUCCCAACGCAACCUCCGGUCCCCAGCUUACCUCCAAGGAACAUCAAAGUUUCUGCUGAACCAAAGUAAGUAAAAAAUACCCUGCCAGGGUUGUUGAGAUAACUCUACGUUGGCUUAUGCCAGAAGUCGACGACGCUGUUUCUGUGGUGUUUGUGGUCCAUUGUUAAAUUGAACAUUUCAAUGCAAGGAGGGUGAAUAUAAAUUAGAAAUAAUCGUUUGAUGAUCUUUCUUCUCUACUCUGUAGUCCAGAAAAUGAUACAUUUUGGUCCUUAUUAAAUGUCAGGGGUAAGUACAGGAAGACUUAUUAAUGAAUGAAUCAAUCAGGAAAAUAUAUUGGAGCACCCCCUUUGUGUAAAUUAUUAUAUCUAAGGACUUGGUAAAGUACAAUAGAAGAAAAUAACAUAAUCCCUGUCCUCAAGGAGCUUCAAUUAAUGGGGAACAGGCAUAAUAUCACUUACGGAGAGGUUGCAGAAAUCUGGAUAGGAUAAAUAGAUAGGGAUUUAAUUAGUGGAGAAUGCAAAUUGAUGCACACCAAAGUUUUCCA